AACGAACGCUGGCGGCAGGCUUAACACAUGCAAGUCGAACGCCCCGCAAGGGGAGUGGCAGACGGGUGAGUAACGCGUGGGAAUCUACCCAGUUCUACGGAACAACUGAGGGAAACUUCAGCUAAUACCGUAUACGCCCUACGGGGGAAAGAUUUAUCGGAAUUGGAUGAGCCCGCGUUGGAUUAGCUAGUUGGUGAGGUAACGGCUCACCAAGGCGACGAUCCAUAGCUGGUCUGAGAGGAUGAUCAGCCACACUGGGACUGAGACACGGCCCAGACUCCUACGGGAGGCAGCAGUGGGGAAUAUUGGACAAUGGGCGCAAGCCUGAUCCAGCCAUGCCGCGUGAGUGAUGAAGGCCUUAGGGUUGUAAAGCUCUUUCAGUGGGGACGAUAAUGACGGUACCCACAGAAGAAGCCCCGGCUAACUUCGUGCCAGCAGCCGCCGUAACAC
rnacentral:rRNA from 1 species